rnacentral:lncRNA from 13 species
UCUCGAGUCUCGCAGUCUCGCUUUGGCUUUGCCAGUGUUCAUAACGUUCUGCGUAGAGCAGUAGAGCAGCCGUUCGCCGCUUUUCUUUUUGGAAGUGAGAAGAUUAAGCCACCUAUGUGUCCCGCUUUAUGUCGACAAUUACAAACGCUUAAGAACGUCCUUGCACGAGCACAAGCUAGCCUCCACAUAGAUCAACAGAGGAUCCUCAGUAUCCAACCGAUUCGUUAGAGCGGACCGACUCCUGGUAUAGACUGUGAAAUUUCGUCAGUUGGAUUCCGAAGAUGAUUUAUGAAGACACCCUAUACCCGUUGUUCAAGAGGGUCGGCGAUGUCUUCCAGAUUCGGUUGAUGGUAGAUAUGGCCGAGUUGACGCUACUGUUUCAUCAUGUAUACAAAUCCGGAUGAUGCGGCACGUGCCAUCACCCAGCUAGACCAGUACGAGAUUUCACCAGGCAGAAAAAUAAGGGUCUUAGCGAGCGUGAAUAAAUGCAAACUCUAUGUCGGUCCUCUGCCGUAGCACAUCGCAUCAGAAGAAGUCGUCAGGGUGAUUUAUGCAUCAGCAUGGGAUAUCGAGUACGUGUCUAUUUUCUGAAUCACGAUGCUACCUAUACUAUAAUUUCUUUCAAAUCACAUCGUAAUGUAGCCUUGGCGAAACGAAAAUUGAGACCUGAAAGGCUCUUUAAAUGUAAUGAAGUACACAAUGGGCGCGUGUCGAUUGGAACCCUACUAACGUACGUGACUUUCAUCAUAAGAAAGUUAUUUAUCCUGAUGAUGAAAAGAAAUCAUCAGUGGCAUAAGGUCUGAAUCGAAGAGCGUAGUCACCUUGGACCAGAUGUGGCCUCAACUCAAAAGCCACUGCAUAAGUUGAUAACGGAUUUGCCACAAUGAAUUACAAAGGGUAAUUGCAUAGGGUAUCCGCGAAUUAUGAUACCCACUUUCUCAAGGAUCGACCAUCAGAGACUGGCUUCUGGGUUGACCACUUUUCUAAGUAUGAUCUUAGACAAGGAUGACAAUCAGGUUUUGUCGAUUGUGGAGGCGAAAAAACUGAAAGGAUUUUGCGCGCCCAUGCAAAAAGACAUGCAUGUUGUGUGGGAAUCAAUGGAAUCAUCAACGAAACGCUCAUUGAUACGAAGAUCGGAAACAAGCAAUCAAAUGCGUUUGAGGGCAGUUUUUUUUUUUUUUAGAAAAGACUUAUCAUUUGUUUUGCUUACAACGAUCGCAAUUAUAAAGAGCGAGGAAUGAUCUUCAGUUUGAUCAGGGAGACCUUUUUCGGCCGUUUUGAUUUUAUUCGCGAGGAUUAUAGUUACGAGAAACGGAUGACCGUCAGCCCGAUUAGUGACAAUGCUCAAGUUGCUGGUACGGUCAUAAUUUUGGAAGUUCAGGCAAGCUUUAAUAAACAUAUGGUAUGUACCAUCAAUGUGUUCGAGAAUCUGGACUGGAAACUUCGCCAUGAUACUAUCGCCGCCUCUACGAGACCUUGUUCAACAUGACAGAAGCUUAAGUAUACGCAGCGAUGCCCGAACCUGAAUACAGAGAGAGCGACUAUGACGCCGAGUACGGUAAGCGUAUAUGCGAUCUCUACUUUUCUUGAAGCUGAAUUGCUCAGAAAAUCAUGAGCUGAACGAGCUUCUGAAUCCAUUGUCGUAUACCGCCAAUCUCUUUUCACUGGGCACUAAGGCACGCUUAGUGCGUUUUGCACUGAAGCCGCCACCGUCUAUUGGUGCUCGUGCCGAAUUUCUACAUUUAGUGCGUACUGAGUGCGCACCAAUUCUCCCAGUGAAAAACGCUGUUAGACUAUAGAUUAAUGUUAUUUCGUAUUGGCGCUGUCCACUGAUCUUUAAUAAUUUUUGAAUGGACACUUCCAGCAAACAAAAAUGGAUUCAAAAUAUUUAAAAUGGAUAGAAAUGGAUUUAAAAAAUCAACAAUUUGGAUUCGGCAAUGACUACAGGAAUCCAUUUCUAUUUAAUUAAAGUUUAAUAAUUCCUUAAAUCCGUUUUAAAUCUAUGAAGUGAAAUUGAAAUUACGGGAUUUCUAUUU